AAAAAAAAAAAGGUUGUUCAGAAUUGUAUAGAGAGCAGAGCAGUCUAGCGGGAGGAUUGACGGGAGCCCAGAGGUGUACAGGGGAGAUGAGACGCCUGCUCAUAGUUUGGAUUGCUAGUAGUUGGAUGGCAGAUAGAGGGGACUUGUUGAAAAUAUGAUAGAAACAUGAUCAAAGUGGUUUUUGAGAAUGCUAAAUGGCAGUGGGGCAGGGGCAGAGGCCGGGGGUGGCGGGGCCAGCGGGGGCGGUGCGUGAUCUAGAGUCCGGCAGGCCAGUUGUGGCGAAAUGGGACUGUUAACAAAGGGUCUUCGAGGGGCACCUGGGUGGCUCAUUCAGUUAAGCACCAGACUCUUGGUUUCGGCUCAGGUCAUGAUCUACCGGUUCGUGGGUUCAAGCCCCACAUCAGGCUCUGUGCUGACAGUGCAGAGCCUGUUUGGGAUUCAUUUUCUCUCUCUCUCUCUCUCUCUCUCUCUCUCUCUCCCUCUCUCUCUCUCUCUCUCUCUCAAAAUAAACUAUAAAAAAAAAAAAAGUGUCUGCCAUAAGACUGUGGUGGUGAGGCUAGAAGAGGGACCAGGGACUCUGGGUUUUCAAGGUGAAUGUUGGGAACCUUAUACAGGAGUGAAGAUGUAAUCCAGGUCAGACAUCCUGAGUUAAGUUGGUGUGACUUCCAGAGGCAGCUGUUUAGCAGGCAGCUGGCAGUGCGAAGCUGAAGCUUGAGAAAGAGGUCAGAGGUGGAGAUCAAGAAUUGGAAGUCAUCCACACAGACAUGACAGUUGAAGCUGAGAGACUGGAUGAGCUCACCAUGAAAGUACAGAGAAUGGAAAAGAGAACUGAGAAUAGGUCCUUGGGGACAGGAAGAGAAACAGGACCUGGGAAAGGAUUGAAAGGCAGGUGAUUGUGUAGGAUGGUUCGUAAUAGUCGCUGAAGAGAAGGGAAGGACUUCUCAAUCUCAGAUGUGGUCAUCCAGAAGAACAGGAUGUGGUUACUGCAGUGUUCCCAAACCUAGUGUUGGGAGGUGUUACAGUGGGAAAAGUUUGGGAAUCAUUAGGUUACUCCAGCACCAUCCAGUAGAAAUGGAAUGGGAGAGGCGCCUGGCUGGCUCAGUUGGUGGAGCAUGCAUGUGGCUCGUGAUCUCAGGGUUGUGAGUUCGAGCCCCAUGUUGGGUAUAGAGAUUGCUUAAAUAAAUAAACUUAAACUUAAAAAAAAAAAAAAGAAGAAAUGGAAUGUGAGCCAUGUGUUUACAUUUUCCAGGAGUCACAUUAAAAAAGUAAAAGAAAUAAGUGAAAUUACUUUUAAUAAUGUAUACUUUAACCCAGUAUGUGCAGAAUAUUAGCAGUUUGAUGUGAAAUCAGUUUUUAAAUACUUAAAUAUUUAAAUACUUAAAAUUAGAUGUUUGACAUUCUUUUUGAAAUCUGGUGUGUAUUUUAUACUCACAACACAUUUCAGUUUGAAUAUGAAAUUUUCACUAGAAAUACUUGAUCUGUAUUGACAUUUCACAAAAUUUACAGUUGAAAAAGUGUAUCCACAUACCCAAGUUUUUCCAAACAUAACAAAAGUUUUCCAGUAAUGGAAAUGAGUACCAACUUUAAAUUUUAAAUUAAUUGAACUAAAAUACAGUUGAAAUUUCAGUUGCUAAGUGGCACCAGCCUCUUUACAGGUGCAUACUGGCCAUGCGUGACUACCGUAUUGGACAGCACAGGGUUGUUCAAAGUAAAUGGGUUCCCUUACAGCUAAUACGCGUUUUGAAAAUAGCCAGGGCAUCACAAAGCAUUUCACAGGACUGGUGUUUCUUAGAACACAUGUUGGACUCCGCUAAUGGAAUUUUUAGAAUUGGAAGGGUCAGAUCCUAAACUUUGAAUGUGAGGAGAUGAACUUUUUACUUUUAUGCAAGUGCACAGAUUCCAAAAAAAUUUUUUUUAAGUUUAUUUAUUUAUUUUGAGAGGGAGAGUGGGGGAGGGAAUUCCAAGCAGGCUCCACGCUAUCAGCACAGAGCCUGACGCGGGGCUCGAUUUCACAAACUUUGAGAUCAUGACCUGAGCCGAAUUCAAGAGUCAGGUGCUUAACCAACUGAGCUACCCAGGCACCCCCAGAUUCCAAAAUUUAAAACAGGAAUUUAAAAAAUUGUUUUGGCUAAGGUCAGCAGGAUGGUACCUUGGUAGAAGUUCUUUAACAUACCAAUUUGUGUCAUAUUUCAGAAUUGCUAGGUGCAGAGGCUUACAUUUACAAGCAGAUAUAGCUGGAGAUACGGGAGCACUCCUGCCCCCUGUUUGACCUGGUUGAAUUUGAAGUCUGUGAGUUGGUGGUGGUUCCAGACAGGGAGGUACGAAAUUAAGAUUUGAGUGUUCUUAGAAACUUUCAGUCAAUGGUCCCAGCCAUCUAGCGUAGGUGGAGGUGUUUGAGGGUGGACAAGGAGUGCCAAAGGGCUAAUUAUUUUGUGUGCGUAUCUCACUUCUGUUUGGCGUUGUGCAGGCUGUUUGGCCUUAGACUGUUUUGUAUUUCUUGCCAUCCUGAGCUAGUAUAAUAUUUAUUUACUAAAUAAGAGUGGUUUGUACAAAGCAGGUUCAAAGAUUUUUAUUUAAUCAUGUCAUUGAUUUAGGUUGCUUUGUAGUUACUAAUUAGACCUUUUAAGUAACAACCAGUAAAGAUAGAAAUUCUCGUGAACUGUAGUUGGAACCAAAGCUUGUCCACACUGGAGAGUAAGCAGUGGUUUUUGGUUGCGCACCGUUUUAUUUCAGCAGACAUAGGGGAGCGAGCUUUUCUGUGAAGUGCCCUGUAAGGGUUUGAGACGUCAGCUAUUCCGUGAGGUCCCAUGUUUUGUUUUGUUUUUAAUCAGUAUGGAAAUUAAUCCUUUACUUUUCUGUUUUCCUUUAGAAGCGCAUUUUGGUUAUCCAUGUCUGCCUUUGUAAAAGCCAGACUGAAUAGUGGUGGGCUUAAAGUAAUGCCCUUUAAUGCUGUCGUGAGGACAGAGACGUAGCAGGAGACCCCGCUCCCUCCUUCCCAGGAGCCCAGAGCCCCGUCUUUUACCUCUUGGUGCCAUUAUUUCUUUUGCUCCUUUGCUUACAGAAAAUAAUUGCUAUUCUUUUUAUGCCAAGAAGUUCCUAUUAAAAGUCGAAGUUAGAUAGAUAAUUGGGUAGCUUGGAACAGUGGCUUUCAAACUUUUUGAUUGGCUCUACAGUAAGAAAUGCAAUUUACUUGGAGGCCCUGUACAUAUGUGGAUGUAUGCGCUGAAGCAGAAGUAUUUACUUUCUGGCACUAUGUGUAAUGUGUUCUGAUACAUUCUUCUGAAGUCUGUUUUGUUAAAAACAAACAAACAACAAGCCCCCAAACCAAAAAAGCUGAUCCUGACUCACUAAAUUGAUUUAAUGAUCCACUGAGGGUUGUGUUGCUGAGGUUCGAAGACGUUUUAGGGAAGUUCCACCCCUGGAACACCAUAUUCCAGGAUCUGAUCCCCAGUUUUGUUGGUCUUGAGAAUCAAAUGUAUCAGUCCAGUCAGUUAUCAUACCAUCCACAUUCAUAAGCGAUUUUUUAAAUAUUAAUUUGUUAUUUCAGUGUGUGGGAGAUGGAUAUUUUUGAUGACCAGGAUGUUGUCCUCCCUGUGCAGAGCAUCCCAUUCAGAUCAAAAAGGAAUUGACCAAACCAUACUGAAGAAUGGUUUUCCUCUAGAUUUUAGAGAAACUUAAGUAGAAAGCAUCCUUUUACCAGAUUAUGUAUUCUCUUGGAAAAACCCCACAGAAAACACUGCCAAAUUCGACUUGGAGGAGGGGGUGCUUCCCUGCCCCCUCUGAGCCAGGUUUCAUAAAGCUGUAUGUCUGCUAUUAACACAUUCUGUUUUCACACACAUUGUAAUACAUUUGAUGAGUUCAGCAUUUCCCCCUGUUUGUUGGGGCAACUAAUAGGCUUGCCUGGAAAAAAAAAAUUCCUUUCCGGAUUCAAACUGAAUGAAACUGGUCUUUGGUCACUACUGGACUUAGAGUCUUUAAGAUGCUAAUGUGCAUUGGGAAUCUUAAGUGAUGUAUAUAUAUAAAAUCGUAAAGUACCAGGUUUGUUUUUUUCAGGCACAGUUUGGGGAAAUGCAUCUUUAGCUUUCUGUUUUGGUUAUUGCUUUCUAGAACUACAUCCUAGUCACACAAGCUAGAUUUGGCCCAAGUCCCUUCAGACACUCUCACAUGGUGGUUCCCAGACUUGGGUUCCAGGGAAACUGUAACAUUGUAAAAGCAGUAUUGGGAUCCAACAUGAGUUACCAGUUUUAAAUUUGCCAGGUAAAGGCAUUUUUUAAAAACUCCUCACUUAUUACCAUAAUUUCAAAGAAAGAAAACAUUUUAACAAACAGAAUGGAAGGUCUCAGAAUAAGAGACAUCUCAUUAAGUUGAACAUAGCUUUAUGAAAACCAUUACAUAGGCAAUAUAGAUCAGCACAGGUACUAAAGUUCAGCGUUUGGGAACCACAUCCUAAUUAUAGACCAUCUCUUAGCAUGUAUUACAAUUAACUGUGUACUUCCUGGUUUUUAUUAGCCUCACUCAUAGGAAUAAACCUUACUUCAAGUUCUGGAACUACCUUCCUUCGUUCUUAUUUACUGGCUACAGUGGUGAUGAUUUCAUUGACUCAUACUUUUUAAAAAAAAUUACUUUGUUCCCUCUGCAUAUACUGUAAGCAAGUAACCAUUCUACUUUAAUGUAAGAAAAAAAGAAAAAACAAACCAAUUCCAUUAGGUGCUGAGCAGUUGUGGAAUCUAGAGUAAUCAAAACCUGUAGCAAAGUGUAUCUGAUUUAAUGAAAUAUAUAGUCAUGGUGAUUAUGUAAAAGUGGCAGGUGGAUCACAGAACUAAAUAAUGCUACUUAUGGGGGCACCGGGGUGACUCAGUCAGUUGAGCGUUGGACUCUUGAUUUCGGCUCAUGUCACGGUCUCACAGUUCGUGGGAUUGGGUCCCAUGUUGGGCUUCAUGCUGACAGCGCAGAGCCUGCUUAAGAUUCCUAUUCCCUCUCCCUCUCCCUCUCUCCCUCCCUCCCUCUCUCUCUCUCUCUCUCUCUCACUCAUUCUCUCUCAAAAUAAAUAAAGAAACUUAAAAAAAAUACUAGUUAUGUACGUUUUUGCUAGCCUGUAUUGGCUCUUUAUGAGUAAUGAAUAAUAGCCAUGGCAGGCGCCCCAAAAUUAUGUACAUUUUUAUGUCUGCCAUCCCACCUGCACACUUUAAAUGACCAAGACCUUAAAUCUGGCAGCCCCACAUCAAGUGUUCCCUUUGUCUUUCUUCUGCCAGAGAAAGUGCUUCUUAGAUGCACUUUACUCUGUAAUCAAGGAGGGCAUGGCCAGCAGCUCCCUGACCUGCCUGGCAGUGAUAAUGCUAUCAGCUGGUUGUGGGCGUGGCAGCCCCAGCAAGGCCUUCGCCUCUUCAGCCUGGAGGCGGCCUGGGCCGGGAUAAGGGUAGCAGUGGAGGGUGUUUGGGAGCAGUAACAUGUAGGGUAGACUUGAGUUUGAGCAGGAUAUUCUUCAGGUUCCCUGUACUUGGAAGAGUUUAUUAUCUAAGUGUUUGUGUAUCAGACGCUGUAUAGUGCUGGGAAUACACAGAUAAAAAAGACCUAACUUAUCUUUGGGACUCAACCAGUGAGGCUGCCUGUAAUAAAGAUAAAAGCAUGAUGCCAAGGACCCCUAGAGGAUGGGAAGAGAGGCCUAGGGCACUGGGGAAGUCUCCACCAAAGAGGGAACUUUUGAGCUGUGUCUUAAAGGGAAUUAGGAACUGCUUGGUGAUAGGGAUAGUGGGUAAAUCAGGGGUGCCAUAAGUGUAGUGGUUAAGAACUUGGGUCCUGCAGUCCAGAUAGCUGUGUGGUUAGAUCUGCCCAGUGUUGGGCAAGUAUUAUCUGUAUGCCUGCGCUUUCUCACUGGUAAAAUGAGGAAUAACAAUAAUAGCACCUACCUCAAGGAAAGGUCACGGGGAUUAAAUGGGAAGACAUUUAAUGUCUUAGCAUAUUGCUUGAGGUCAGUGUUAGCUUCUGUUUUCAUUAGUUUUAUUGUUAGCAUUUCAGACAGAGGAAAGAACAUACACAAAGGCAAGGACUUAGGGGCACGUGGGUGGCUCGAUCAGUUAAGCAUUCGACUUUGAUCUCUGAUCUCAGGCUCAGGUCAUGAUCUCGGGGUUUGAGCCCCACCUCAGGCUCUGUGAUGACAGCUGGGAGCCUGCUUGGGAUUCUCUCUCUGCCCCUCCCCUGCUGUUUCUCUCUUUCUCUCUCUCUCUCUCUCUCUCUCUCUUUCUCUCUUUCUCUCAAAAUAAAUAAAGCUUAAAAAAAAAAGACAAGGAGUUAGGAACUGGGCGAGUGUGGGAGAUGGUGAUAUAUUAGCAGAACUAAGGGCAGGCUGUCUGGGCAAAAGUGGAAGUGUUGGUUGGCCUUUGACUAUUCUAAGAAAUUGGGAUUUCAUCUUAUAGAAGGCAGUUAAAAAAAUCAACUUGCUUCACUUGAUCUGCAUGUCGAGGAUCUGAUGGAGGGGGAGAGAUUGUGGCCAAAGUAAGAGGAGUGCUCACCACAGUACAUGUAGUUAACCAUCUGUCACCAUACAGCUUUAUUAGAAUGCUAUCGACUAUAUUCUGCAUGCUGUGCAUUACAUUCCCAUGACUGACUGACUUUAUAACUGGAAAUUAAGGCAGUGACAGUAAAGAUGGGAAGACCAGAUUUGGGGGACAUUUCUAGAAGUGUAAUCCAUUGGAUAUGAUGCAAAAACGAGUUGUGUGUAAGCCCCCGGCUGGGUGAACGAGUGAUGCCAGGAGUUGGCAUGGACGUUUCAGUGGGUAGAGGAGGGGUUUUGGGUAUGUACUAGGGUGAGGGUGGGACCUGAGAGGCUGUGGUUUUGCUUUGGACAUAUUUUAGGUGUUUGCUGGGCAGGUGGAAAUAAGGGUCUGGAGCUCAACAGAGAAGUUUCCCAGAUGUCAAUUUACAUAUAGAGAUGGUCAUUAGGCCAUGAGAGUGACAGUGCUCCCUCAGCAAACGGCCAGAGGAGUGGGAUGAAAACAGGAAAAAGGGUGGUGCAGAAGAAACCCAGACAGGAAAGAGUUUAGGGAAGUGAAGGAUAGUCAUCAGGGGGUCAGUUGAGAUAAACCCUGAGUUUGAGUAGUUAGAUUGGCCUGGAGUUGCUCAGUGCGUCAGGUUCAGGGCUCCAUUGAGCCCAGCAGCCCCAGCAGCCCCAGCACAUUGUCAUUCUGUUUGCCCCUGAUGUCACAUUGGGAAGUCUCCCCAUGGGUUUGGCGAUCUUCUUCGGUCAAUACAAUGAGCAGCUGUGGGUCAGGCACUAGUUGUACUCACCUCUGUAACCCUAGUACCUGACAUACAGUGAGUCUGCAGAGGACUUUUUUUACUUUUAAUUAAAAUAUAAUUGACAUACAAGGUUGCAUUAGUUCUGGGCAUACAAGGUAGUGAUUUGACAAUUCCAUACAUUAUGCCGUGCUGUACAUGACAUCCCCAUGACUUAUGUACUUUACAACUGGAAGUUUGUACCUCUUAGUCCCCUUCACCUAUUUCCUAUUUUACCAUUCCCCUAACGCCCACCACUCUGGCAAGCACCAGUUUGCUGUAUUGAUGAUUCUGGUUGGUUUGUUUUGUGUUUUAGAUUCCACAUAUGAGUAACAUUCUGUAGACUUGGGUAUUUGUAUUUCUCUGUCUUAUUUCAUUUAGCAUAAUACCCUCUAGGUCCAUCCAGGUCAUAAAUGAUAAGAUCUCUCUCUCUCUCUUUUUUUUUUUUUUAAAGUAAUCUCUGUACCCAACAUGAGGCUCAAACUUAUAACCCUGAGAUCAAGAGUUGCACACUCUACCAACUGAGCCAGCCAAGUGCCCCAAGAUUCAUUUUUUUUUUUUAUAGCUGAGUAAUAUUCUACUUUGUAUAAAUACUAUGUGUUCUUUAUCCAUUCAUCUGUCCAUGGACAUUUAGGUUGCUUCCAUAUCUUGGUUAUUAUAAAUAAUGCAGUAAACAUAGGGAUGCAUAUGUAUGUUUUCAAAUUAGUGUUUUUUGUUUUCUUUGGGUUAAAUACCCAGUAGUGAAAUUACUGGAUUGUAGAGUAUUUCUAUUUUUAAUUUUUUGAGGAACCCCCAUACCGUUUUCCACAGUGGUUGCACCAGUUUACAUUCCCAGCAGUGUCCCCAGGGUUCCCUUUUCUCCACAUCCUUGCCAACACUUGUUAUUACUUGUUUUUUGAUACUAUCCUUUCUGACUAAUAUAAGGUGAAAACUUGUGGUUUUGAUUUGCAUCUCCCUGACGAUGAGUGAUGUUGAGCAUUUUUUCAUGUGUCUGUUGGCCAUCUGAAUAUCUUCUUUGGAGAAAUGUCUAUUCAGGUCCUUUGCCCAUUUUUAGUCAGAUUAUUUGUUUUUUUUUUUGCUUUUCCAGAGCAUUUGCUGAAUGAACACAUGAAUCAAGGAUGACUUGGGUUAACUCAACAAAUACAUAUUGAGUGCCUUAUUUAUGUGUUUGUUUUAAGAGCUAUGCUAAUCUCUAGGGAUAAAACAGUGAACAAAAUAGAUAAAAAGCCCUAUCCUUGUAGGGCUUACAUUCUAAAGCAUGAAUCAGAAGGCUAAGGGAAAGCAGCAAGUAGAGAGAGAACGAUUGAAAGUAUAGGAUGAGCUCUGUAUCCUCACCAUCCAUGGACUGAGCUUGGUACUCAGUAGGCAUUUGAUACGGUUAGUUGACUUGAACACGGGAGGGAGGGUCCGGGAAGAGAACUGGGUGUGGGAAGAGAUUUGCUGUAUGUGACAGGUUAGCCUUGGAGAGGGAAGAGUAAAUUUGGAAAUAGAAAGAUUUGAGGGAGUUCCCCUGAGAGGCAUUCACCUCUGAAUGGGAGUCACUCCUCUCUAUAAAAUAGAAGAUGAAGUCUGAGCAGAAAAGGGAGCCUAAUGAGCAAUAAAAUACUUGGAACAGUCUUCCCACCCCCACCUCCAAAGAAAAGGAAGAAAACCACCGAAAGAAA